rnacentral:lncRNA from 1 species
GGCGGUGCCAGAAAAAGAAAAGAAAAAGAGAGAAAGAGAAUAGAGAAAGGAGAAAGAAAUAGAAGAAAAAAAAUAGAAAAAAUAAGGUAUUUUUAAAAAAAAUAAUGGAUUAUCUUGUUAUUAUGUUUUUUUUGUAUAUUUUUUAUUGUUUUUUGUUGUUAAUUUAGUUAUUAUUGUUAGUUAUUAGGAUUAAUAAAAACCCUAAUUAUUAUUUUAGUUAGUAUUAUUAUUGUUAGUUUUUAGGGUUUAGUUAUUAACAAUUAUUG